GGGGAUUCCAGGGCUAGCAAAUAACGAGCCCUGUCAGCAUCUGUCAAAUAUGCCAUCUCCCUCCAUCAUCCCUGCCUCCUGCCUCCUGGCUCCUGCCAAUCCAUCUCCCUGCCGACACUGACCGACUGCGCUCAGGUGCAACUGCCAAGAAGCCCAGACGCACGAUGCCUGGUCUGCUCCAGAUCCAUUUUCUCCAGGAAUGUCACCAGACACUGAUUUUAAAACUCUGAGAGACCCUAGGACUACAGGGUUGUAGGAUGAAACCCAAAGAGGAAGAAGAGAAAUUGCCCUCUGUUCAAUCUCAGCCCCUUGUCUCCACUAUCCACUUUCCAAAACCAGAACUUAAAACAAACUUCAGGCAAAGGUAUAGAGUGUUAAAUCUCUGGAAGACCUUCCCAGCUUUGAAGAGGUUGUGAAUGCCUCCAAAACUAAGGAAACGGUUGAGGGAAAGCUGUGGCUAGAAACCCGAAAUCGCUUCUUGUAAUAUACGCAAUUUCCACCAGGGGGCGAGGAACGCGGCUGUGCGGAGGAGCGGAAUCUUCUCAGCAGCGACCUGCGAAGGGCUCAGCGGCCACAGGAGGGCGGCAGAGAACAGUGCUCCCUACAGAUCCAGACAUCGGCCCUGGAUGCUGUCUGCAAUCCAGGCAAGGCCAGGCUGGGCUGCCCUAGGCUGGGGACGUCUUUAGCUCGAGCAAGAACCUAUGAAUUUCUGAAUUCAGGAAUCCUUGCAUCCCAUCUCAAGCUCUCUAGUCCCUGAAAUGCCAUCGCCCUCCUUCGCCUCCCUUCCAUUUCUCGUUCUAGCACUGGGGCUGCUGGCACAGAAGGACCCUGUGGCUUUUCCUUCAUGGUAUAGCAGAUAACACCCACGGUCCUCCGUGACAUUCCCUGGGGUCCCAGAUGAUAACUGGGGCCAGAACUAGAACCCAUGACUUCUUGGUUCUCAGCGCAGGGGUCAUCCCGUUGUGUCAGCUGCAGCUCCUGAAAAACACCAUACCCUACAGGCCACAACCAGACAGCAUCUCAAACCCCUGGCUUAAACAAUCAAUGUCAAAGCUACUGUGUUCUGUAUGUUUACAUAUGGAACUGGUGCAUACAAGACUGUUAACCCAGAACACACAUGUGUGCUGUAGCUACCUGGCUGUACACCCUUCAUCCUCAGUUUCAGAAACUCCUCGAAGCUGUAGACACAGAAGUCCUUUCCCAGUUCUAACCUUGGUCCAUCCUACCACAGCCCUUUACACCUGGAGAAGAGGACCUGCACAUGAUCUUCAGCUCUCUCUUCCCGGGUAUCCCUCACCUGGUCCUGUCACUGCUUCUUGCCUCUCCUGUCCCUCUGCUGACCAACCUAUGCCUCCCCCAGAUUCUUCUUGCUGCCACUGGUUCUCCUUUCAUCUCAAAAGCUGA
rnacentral:lncRNA from 10 species